CAGCAAAAUCACCAGUGUUAAAUUUUCAGGGAUGGUGUUAAAUAAACAGUGUUGAUGCUGUUUUAACACUAUCUGGUAAUAAAAUAACACUGCCAUUGCUAGGCCAGUGUUAUAUCCACGACAGUGUCAGUGUAAAACAAGGGUGUUAUCAGAUUUCACUCUGAGCGGUGUAAAUCAAGCCACGCCUCCACUAAACAUAUCCUGUCAGGGAUUUUACCGCCAUUUUCUUUCAAAGGAGGACUGAAGAGAGCAGAUGCUAGUUUGGUGAAAGUACACACUGAGUGCUUCAAAUCAUUCAGAAGAGAUGCUGUUUUUAAGGGCAGUUUAUUAAAGAAGACCUGACAUGGAUGACUUCCAGUGAGAAACGACUGCUAAUACUUAUAUAAAUUCAUUACAGAAGGACCCUGCCAGACUAUAUUUGAAUACGGCAUACCCAUGAAUUCUGAACUGUUAUUCCUUAACCCAGUUUGGAGGAUAAGAGCUUACCAACUAGUUAUGUGAGUACACACAGUACAUUAGUACUGUACACUGUCUCUAACAUGAUUUGUUAUACUGAGAUGAUUUUGAUUCAAAUAACGGUUAAAACUGCACCCUUUUUGGUAUUUUCUUGACUCUUUUUGUCUUUGAAAAUCUGCAGAAAUAUGCUGAGGCGAUGUAUUGCAAAAUAGCCAACAUACAACAAUUAAAGGAUA